UAGGAUAUCGAGCGAACGAAUUAAGUAUUUCGUUCCCUCGAAAUAAUCAUAUUAGAAAUCGAAAUACAAUUUCGUGAUUAAAGUCUAAAUCUCUGGCCCAUCAAAGCCAGUGAGGAGAGACGGACAUGCAGCUGUUUUAUAAUAGAUCCAUGCAGCAGCAGCAGCAGCAGCAGCAGCAGCACCGGGACCAGCUACAACAUCUUGGAGUGGAAGGGGCCGUCUAUGUGCUGGAGUUAACAGUGGCUGCAACGCUCUGACAUCCACGUUGACAUUAUACAGCAAUCUUACAGACUAUAAUCCACCAGAACAUCGUUCCUUGGACUGGGCAAAAAUGUCAAUCACCGUGAUAAAUUUCCUACGAGAUCGCGGGGUCCCAGAGGAAGCUCUCACACUAAUGGAAGAGCAAAAGGUAUGUUGUGGCAACUGAGAUGCAGAAGUCUCUGUUGAACCUGAUGACCUUUUGGAGGUCCUCAACAACUACGAAUGCAGAAGAAGAGCCUCAGCAGACGCCCUUCCAGGAAUUCUGGAAGAGAUUUCCCACAAAGAACUUGUGCAAAAGCCAAAGUUUGUAAUUGAUUGUUGGAGGGACAUCACAAAAUCACAGAUGAGUCUGAAUUAUGAAAAGCUGACCAAGAUGUACACCGACCUCAAACCAACAACUAAGAAGGUGUCAAGGCUGUUGAAGUUCCCAGCAGAUAUGACG